AGUCGAGGGGUAUGGUUCUUCGGAACCAGAGACCGGCGCACGGGUGCGUAACGCGUAUGCAAUCUGCCUUUCACAGAGGGAUAGCCCAGAGAAAUUUGGAUUAAUACCUCAUAGUAUAGCGACAUCGCAUGAUGAUGCUAUUAAAGUCACAACGGUGAAAGAUGAGCAUGCGUCCCAUUAGCUAGUUGGUAAGGUAACGGCUUACCAAGGCAACGAUGGGUAGGGGUCCUGAGAGGGAGAUCCCCCACACUGGUACUGAGACACGGACCAGACUCCUACGGGAGGCAGCAGUGAGGAAUAUUGGUCAAUGGGCGCAAGCCUGAACCAGCCAUGCCGCGUGCAGGAUGACGGUCCUAUGGAUUGUAAACUGCUUUUGCACAGGAAGAAACACUGAUUCGUGAAUCAGCUUGACGGUACUGUGAGAAUAAGGAUCGGCUAACUCCGUGCCAGCAGCCGCGGUAAUACGGAGAAUCCAAGCGUUAUCCGGAAUCAUUGGGUUUAAAGGGUCCGUAGGCGGUCUGGUAAGUCAGUGGUGAAAGCCCAUCGCUCAACGGUGGAACGGCCAUUGAUACUGCUGGACUUGAAUUAUUAGGAAGUAACUAGAAUAUGUAGUGUAGCGGUGAAAUGCUUAGAGAUUACAUGGAAUACCAAUUGCGAAGGCAGGUUACUACUAAUGGAUUGACGCUGAUGGACGAAAGCGUGGGUAGCGAACAGGAUUAGAUACCCUGGUAGUCCACGCCGUAAACGAUGGAUACUAGCUGUUGGAAGCAAUUUCAGUGGCUAAGCGAAAGUGAUAAGUAUCCCACCU
rnacentral:rRNA from 1 species